AGACUGGCAACACGGGUGUAUCAGGUAGUCAUCAAACCGGCUCUGGCUGCAGGUUCAAAAGUGUCCCGUCUUCAGUAACAUGAAGAGCAGCUGAGGAACACAUCUGAGGAAGACAGCCAUGACUUUUUCAACUAGGAUUGUAAGGUGAACGUCCUCAGUAAGUAGAAAAUGGGGUAUCUCCUCAUCCACCACCAGUGUGCAGCAUCCACCUGGAUGAUACGACGGCAGCCAUAUUGUGCCAGAACGCCCACCAGCUUUUCGAAAGACAUCCUGGGAUUUUUACUGACCACAGAGAGUCAGGACCUCGGUUUAACAUCUCAUCUGAAGGACAGUGCUUGUUGACAGUAUAGUGUCCCAUCACCCACACAGACCACAGGGUGAGCACCCCCUGCUGGCCUCACUAGCACCUCUUCCAGCAGUAACCUAGUUUUCCCAUGAGGGCUCCCAUCCAGGUACUGACCAGGCUCAGCCCUGCUUAGCUUCAGUGGGGAACCAGUCUUGGGCUCCAGGGUGAUAUGGUUGCAAUAUACUGUAUAUAUUAGUUGCAGCCACUGCCUGCAUUUUGUAUAAUUUCACAAAAUGUUCAUAGCCCC